rnacentral:rRNA from 1 species
UGUGACAUACCUAUUUGUUGCCUCGGCGGUGCCUGUUCCGACAGCCCGCCAGAGGACCCCAAACCCUGAUUACAUUUAAGAAGUCUUCUGAGUAAACCGAUUAAAUAAAUCAAAACUUUCAACAACGGAUCUCUUGGUUCUGGCAUCGAUGAAGAACGCAGCGAAAUGCGAUAAGUAAUGUGAAUUGCAGAAUUCAGUGAAUCAUCGAAUCUUUGAACGCACAUUGCGCCCGCUAGUAUUCUGGCGGGCAUGCCUGUCCGAGCGUCAUUUCAACCCUCAAGCCCCCGGGCUUGGUGUUGGGGAUCGGCGAGCCUCCGCGCCCGCCGUCCCCUAAAUCUAGUGGCGGUCUCGCUGUAGCUUCCUCUGCGUAGUAGCACACCUCGCACUGGGAAACAGCGCGGCCACGCCGUUAAACCCCCAACUUCUGAACGUUUGACCUCGGAUCAGGUAGGAAUACCCGCUGAACUUAAGCAUAUCAAUA